rnacentral:tRNA from 1 species
GCCUCGGUAGCUCAGUGGCUAGAGCAACAGCCUUGUAAGCUGUAGGUCGCGGGUUCAAAUCCCGCUCGAGGCUCCA